rnacentral:misc_RNA from 1 species
AGCAGCCGCGGUAAUUCCAGCUCCAAUCGCGUAUAUUAAAGUUGUUGCAGUUAAAAAGCUCGUAGUUGAAUUUCGGGACCAAUUUGUUGGUCGUGCCUCGGUACGUACUGGUAUUAUUGGUUUCUCCCUUCUGAAGAACCUCGAUGCCAUUAAUUUGGUGUCGUGGGGAAUCAGGACUGUUACUUUGAAAAAAUUAGAGUGUUUAAAGCAAGCAUACGCUUGAAUACAUUAGCAUGGAAUAAUGAAAUAGGACGUUUGAUUCUAUUUUGUUGGUUUCUAGGAUCGACGUAAUGAUUAAUAGGGAUAGUUGGGGGCAUUAGUAUUCAAUUGUCAGAGGUGAAAUUCUUGGAUUUAUUGAAGACUAACUACUGCGAAAGCAUUUGCCAAGGAUGUUUUCAUUAAUCAAGAACGAAAGUUAGGGGAUCGAAGACGAUCAGAUACCGUCGUAGUCUUAACCAUAAACUAUGCCGACUAGGGAUCGGAUGAUGUUAAUUUUUUAAUGACUCAUUCGGCGCCUUAC